rnacentral:tRNA from 1 species
UCUUUAAUAGUUUAAAAAAACUUAACAUUUUCGUUGUUAGAUUAGAGAUUUAUUUUCUUUAAAGAU